CUCGGACCCCGCUCCCUGCCCCGCCCCUUCGCUGCUGCGCAUGCGCGGCUGUCUCCUCCGAGUCGCGCGGCGACGGCCGCGUCAUGGGGGGAUCGUGUGUCGAGUCACAGGUGGCUUUCCAGGAGGAGUGGCCCGAAGCGGACGCGGUGCAGGUGGCUGUGACUCUAGAUUCCCACCUUCCGAUCUCUGUCGGUUCUGUCCGAGUCAGGGUACUUAUGAAAGGCCGAGAAAGUUUUAUUUAUUGUAAAACUUGUGAAUGGGAAUGUUUUGGAAAGGCGAGCAGAAUAGCAUUUAGGGAGAAAGUAAGGAAAAGAACUCAGAAUUCGGAUUGAAGAGAAAUCGUUUAAGGUCUUGGCUCAUUUUUCAAGAAAUGAGCUAGGGUUCCUAAAUGAAAGCUGAAAGCAUAUGAUUCAGAGCUGCUGGUUCUGUCUUUCACCACUUGGAGAAAGCAGGAGACUGAUGAGAGCAGGAAGAGACAAUUCUGUUUCCAUACGUAUGGCUAGAACAGGCAUACUCAUCAACGUCUGCAUACUGGCUUCCAGAUCCAUGGAAUGAAGGCUCUGGCUGGGCGAGAGGAAGCUUCUGUACCAAUAUGAUGCCACAAUAAACGUAAAGCAACGCCACACACCUGGAAGGGUGGUAGAGCUCCAGGAUGGCGGCUCCACAUUGCUGCUGCCUCUGAUCUACCCGGGAGGGGACAAAGUCACCAAGGCUCAGCCGAGAUCCUGCUGCUGUGUUAACUGUGCUUCACAGAGGUUACUCUUCAAGGGAGAAAGAGCAGAUCCACUGAGAUAUUUUCUGAAGAACCCCAAACAUGGCACCUCUCAGAGAAGUUCCACGCUCAGCUGAGGGCAGCAUUUAGAGAGCACUGACAGAGGAAGGCUCUGGAUGGAGGGGCCAUGACUUCCCAUGAUCUUCAUGUGCUACAUGGGACUCUAAGGUUCCUGGUGACUUUGGGAAGAAGGCAGAAGUGCUGAGAAAACCAGGGGUCAGAAGAUACCUCAGGACGAAGUAGACCCCCUUCCAAGCAGAAGGUCCAAAAGAGGAGGAGCCUACGACCCAGUGAAGGAGACACAGGGGGCAACAAAUCCAAUACAGUAGGUGAUACAACUGAGGCAGGUCCCCGGUGCUGGGGAAGCAAGGAAGAUGGCUAAAUGGAUGGUCCCCUGGGAGUCGGUGAGACCUGCUCUGAAGGAUGAGCAUUUUCAUUUUCAUCAGGUGGACUGGCCUGGUCUCUGCACUGAAAUGCCUCUCUGUGGAAUUUGUGCCACUUAUGUUUCCCCAAAUCCCUCACGUGUCCAACAUCAUCUCCUUCAUGAAGAUUUUUCUGAUCCUUCCAACUAGAUUUGACUUCUGUAGUCUGAUUUUCAUGGCAUGUCAGCUUAAUCUCUCUCCUCAUUUUGUACUUUAUACUUAUUUUGUUCUCUCAGCUAAAUGUUAUGCUCUUCUCUGAGUUGCCACAUCCCUGCACCCUGAGUGUACGAGACACUCAAUAAAUGUGAUGUUAAAUUGAGUAGUAAAUAAAUAAAAGAGAAUAGGUUUAGGAAAAUCAAGUCUAAACCUACUAAAUGAUGUGCUCUCUGUAAACAAAUUUCCUUCCUUCUUUACCUUUUUAUUCCCAGAAGUUCAUGUAAUUCUUGGCAGAAUAGUAGGUGCUCACUAAAUGCUUGUUGGAAUUUAAUAGGGAAGACAGUUGUAAAGAUAAACUGGGAGUUAGAAGUGGUUCUGCAGAAGGUUUCUAUUUCAAGCUUUGUGGAAAAUUCUCCUCUCAGAUACCAAAGACUAUAGCUCCUUUAGCUUCUUUGGAAUGAUGAUGCUGUUCACAGGUGCUGACCAAUACCUCUGUGACAAAUUUCAUUUUGUAGGUGACAGUGAAAUACCGAGCCAAAAACAUACAGAUGAGAAGGUGUCCUGUUGAAACUCCACUUUUUCCUCUUCCAUGUCCAUCUUCUUCAGUCUUGGCAAGGGGCUAUUGGGUGGAUACAUUGUGCAAGGCGGAUGCCAGCUCAUCUCGUGAACUUAUGGUGUCACAAAGGAUUCUCACAACCAUUCUAUCUCUGAGGUAGGUAAUAUUAUCCUCACUUUUCAGAUAAAGAAGCCAACUUAGACAUUUUAAGGCACUCAUCAAAAGGUCACACAGCUGGUGAAUGGGAGCACCAUGAUGGGGCCCUAAUUUGUCUGAUUUCAAAGAACAAAUCUUGUCUUGAUGAACAAAUGAAACCUUGAUGGGUGGGGUCUCUGGAGAUACAGGUUUAAUCGGGAGAUAUAGUUGGGUGCAAUUCUUCUGACUUACUCUGGUGAUCAAAGCUGGUCUAUUCCAGCCUAAAUCAGGUCACUAGGAGAUGAGAGAAUUUGAUUAUAUGAAGAAGGGACCCAGGAUGGUCAACUGACAGGAAGACUGGAUGUAGUGAAGUUUUUGAAAACAGAGGGAGAAGGGUCUAUCUGGAUGUUGAAGAGUGGAAUGCAAGAUAGAGACAUUGCUGAACAAGAUGUGACAAAAUAUUCAGGAAUAUCGCUACCAUCAGUGGCUCUGCUGACCACAAACCUUCCCUACAAAUAUGUCUGGUAUGUAAGUUUCUCCUUUGUUGUAUGCCACUGGUGACAUUCUUAGGUAAUAAAGUACUUGCUGGAAAAUAAGGAGGAAGAAAAACAACUCAGAUGUUUUCAUUUUGAAGGCUUCUGUUA